UUAGGCCGAGGGCACGCCUGCCUGGGCGUCACACGUCGUCGCCCCCCCAACCAAUCCCCCGGGAUUGCGGGGGGCGGAUGAUGGCCUCCCGCGCGCUCCGUCGCGCGGUUGGCAUAAACACCAAGUCCCCGGCGGCGCACGCCACGACGAUCGGUGGUUGCGAGACCUCGGUCGCCCGUCGUGCGCGGUCGUCGCGCUUCGGGGGCUCGAAAGAACGCUCGGCUCCGGCUCGGCUUUCAACGCGACCCCAGGUCAGGCGGGGUCACCCGCUGAAUUUAAGCAUAUCAAUAAGCGGAGGAAAAGAAACUUACGAGGAUUCCCCUAGUAACGGCGAGCGAACCGGGAACAGCCC
rnacentral:rRNA from 1 species